rnacentral:tRNA from 2 species
GCCGAGAUGGGGUAGUGGCAACCUUGGGGAUUGUGGCUCCCUAGCCGCGGGUUCAAUUCCCGCUCUCGGCCCCA